GGGAUGUUGGUGGUGGGGUCCUUCGGAAGCGCUCCCCCUUUCUGCCGCCCCGCCCCGGAGACCCGCGGGGAAGCAGGUUGGCCCGGGAUCCGCCCCACCCAGCCCGGCAAACUCUCUCGCUCUGAGUGUGAGAAUAUCUACUGAGAGUGAAGAAGAUUUAAAAUUGCUGCCUGGUGGGGGAGAGAGUGAACAUAGAGGAUCCAGUUAAUGAUGUGGGUCAUGGAUUCAUUAUGUCAUCAGUUUGGAAAACCCCACGCCUUGUCUCUAGCAGUACUUGGUAAACUGAUGGUAGGCACAGAAAUCCAAGCAAUCCAUUGAUCAUGACGACGUCUCUCCUUCUGCUUCUCCUCACCCAAUCUCUGAGGGCCGCUUGAUGACUAUGGAAGAAACUGUCAUUCGGGGUAUAGUUACGUGGGCCUGAAAAGACCUGAGGUCCAAUUUACACAGAAGUACAGCAGAGGAUGAGCAGUUAUUGCCAGAAAUCUGGUGAUGCUAAGUUAAUGACCAAAUUCUACAAAUACAAGUUCAUGCAGCCUGACCCCCUCUGCCCCUUGGGAGCCUAAUGGGAAUCACCAUCUCCUCCAGUGGAUCUAUAUUUGCUCAGAGAGACCCAUCAGGAUGUGCCAGUUAAAAUACUUUCAAACUAAGGGAACAGAGAACACAAUUUAAACAGUUCUUAAACACAGGAAAUCCAAUCCAAACAUAAUUGAAAAAGACCAUGGUAGAGUGAUGCUUAAGUGUGGGUCAGUCACAGCUCUCUCAGCUAUGCCCUCUACAGGUGUCAGCUUCAUUUCCAGACGGGAAACAGGGUGGUUACAGCAGUUCCAGGCCUCACAUCUCUGCACAAGAUCAAGAGAAAAGAGGGGACCAUCUUAAAAUUUAGAACAUUUAUUUCCCAGAGGCCCCCAAGAAUUUUUCCAGUUGCCUUCCACUGAAUUAAAUGGCCAUGCCAGAACCAAAUUCUAUGGCUCUGCAUUGGUGGGCUUAAGCAUGAGUUCCUUAACCCAUCACUGACAAGAGAGCUGAUAAUUACCUUUUGACAAAGUAGGCCCACUUCUAGAGCAGGGUAGGGUCAGCUUGCCUAGGUGCACAUGGGUGGUUUGGGUGCAAAAGUGGUUAUCUAUGUAUAAAAUCUGAGUACUGCUAGGGAUAGAUAGUCAAUCGAAAAUAUCUGCUACAGGAAGCCUGUGAAAGAAUCACUAGCCUUGAGGAUUGGUACUAAAGAAGCCCAAUGCACUUGGAAACAAGAACUAUGUGGAUAGAUAUUUUUCAAAGACCUGCUGAAUUCCUCUCUGGAUAUGCAGAACAAGGAUGACCUUAAAAUUUAGCAACAAAGCCACUGAUGAUUCCACUGAUCUUCCCAAAACUUCAACUAUAAAAGCCAUAGAAACUAGCAGAUAUUGGAAAAUAGAAGCCCAUGAGUUGCAUAAAAAUAACUGGGGGCAACCCAGAAGAAUGCCCUGAGUCAAAAAAGCCCAGAUUGAUGGAAAUUAUAGUAGUAUGACCUUGAUCACGAAGUAUCCAAGAAAAGGCCAUAUUACAGUUUCCAAUAAGGAUGGAAAGAAGAAAAGAGAGCAAAGAUGCAGAAUGAUACCCUCUAAGGCAGUGCAACCUGAUCUUGUUUAAAGAUAUUUUCUCCAUCAGGGAUGUGACUGGGACCCACCCCCUCAAACUCCUUGGUAUGGGUUUGAAAAAUGGAAACCAAUUGGUGUGGGUUUAUCGUGUCACCCCAAAAAUAUAUGCUCAAAUCCUAACCUUU